rnacentral:lncRNA from 1 species
GACUUAAGAUAUGAGACUGAUUAAUUAAAACUGACUUGAUGUUUGAUUUCUGAAUUAAAUUUUUGUUUUCUUUAUUUUCCCACCAUUAAGGGUGGGUGGUGCCCCUUUCAACGAGUGCAUAAAUGUCAUAAUUUGAGAUUAUUAAUCUUCAGACAUUUAUUAUAAAUUCCAAUCGCUACAGUAUUAUUUUGGUGCGGCCUUGUGAGGCUCAUUACAAAUCGCUACACAAAGUCUGAAACAAAUCUUAAUAGUUUGAAAAGUACAAAUGGGAUUAAAAAUGCUAAAGAUGUGGAAUAAUGCUGACGAAUUUGUGAAUAUUUUGCUUUUGGAAUGAAGUUUCUACGUGGAAGUAUAGAGGCGUUGAAGGCUUUUGAAGUUGUUAUAAUAAUAAUAAUACAUUUUAUUUAAAAGCGCCUUUCUGAACACUCAAGGACACUGUACAGGGCAUAAAAACACAGUUAGAAACAUAAUUAAAAUAAAUAAAAACAACAUACAAGUGUGAAAGUGGACAGUUAAAGUGAAUAUGCAAUUUGAAAAAGGUGUGUUUUGAGUUUGGAUUUAAAGUGGGGUAGUGAGUCCAUGUUUCUGAGGUCCGGGGGGAGAGAGUUCCAGAGUUUGGGGGCAGAGCGACUGAAAGUCCUGCUCCCCAUGGUGCUGAGCCGGGCAGAGCGCACAGAGAGGUGGAGGGAGGAGGAGGAUCUGAGGGAGUGUGAGGGGGUGACGAUGUGGAGGAGAUCGAAGAGGUAAGGGGGGGCAAGGUUAUGGAUGGCCUUGAAAGUGUACAGAAGGAUUUUGUAGUUGAUUCUGGACCUGACAGGAAGCCAGUGAAGCUGCUGAAGGACAGGGGUGAUGUGGUGAAAGGAGGGGGUUCUGGUGAUGAUGCGGGCUGCGGAGUUUUGGACAAGUUGAAGUUGGAGGGAUUUGUGAGGGGCACCGAGGAGGAGUGAGUUGCAGUAGUCUAUGUGGGAGGUAACAAGGCUGUGGACCAGGAUAGCUGUGGUGUGAGGAGUGAGUGACGGACGGAGACGGUUAAUGUUUCGUAGGUGGAAAUAUGCAGACCAGGUGAUGUUACUGAUGUGAGAGUGGAAAGAUAGUGAGCUGUCGAGGAUGACACCCAGACUCUUAACCUGAGGGGAAGGGGACACUGUGGAGUUGUCUAUGGUGAGGGAGAAACUGUCAGCUUUGGAAAGACCGGACUUGGUACCGACCAGGAGGAGUUCUGUUUUAUCGGAGUUGAGUUUGAGGAAGUUUGACGUGAACCAGGAUUUAAUUUCUGAGAGGCAGUGGGUGAGGGUGGAAGAGAGGCGUUGGGUUUGCUGGAGAGGUAGAGCUGGGUGUCAUCCGCGAAGCAAUGAAAAUGUAUGCCAAAUUUACGGAGGAUGCUGCCAAGGGGAAGGAGCUAGAUAAUGAAGAGGAGGGGGCCUAGGACAGAACCCUGGGGCACACCUGAAGUGACAAGGGAGGGCUGUGAGGUGAAUGAUUUGAGUUGGAUGAACUGAGUGCGGCCAGUGAGGUAUGAGUGAAACCAGAGAAGGGGGGUGUGAGUAAUGCCUAUGGAGGAGAGUCUAUGGAGGAGGAUGGAAUGGGAGAUGGUGUCGAGGCCGCACUCAGAUCAAGGAGAAUGAGGAUGGAGAUUAAACCGGAGUCAGCUGCCAUGAGGAGGUUGUUAGUGAUUUUGAUGAGGGCUGUUUCAGUGCUAUGGAGGGGACGGAAACCGGACUGGAACUGUUCGUAGAGACUGUUGUGAGUGAGAUGGGUGUGGAGUUGAGAGGCAACCGUUUUUUCUAGAAUUUUGGAGAUGAAGGGGAGGUGGGAAAUGGGGCGGAGGUUAUUGAAGUUGUUGGGGUCUGAACCAGGUUUUUUCAGGGUGGGACUGAUGGCUGCAGAUUGUUGUGUGAAUAAAAUGUGAGAAAAGGGCUAAUUUGAACAUUCCGUAAUGCAGGAAAAUUGCCGACAGGAAUAACAAUAAGUGGAAAUACUUAAUCAGCAUUUCCACUUAAUAAAGAACAGGAUAACAAUAAGUUGAAAUGCUGAUUAAGCAUUUCCACUUAAUAAUAAUUAAGAAAUGGGAGAAUAACAAUAAGUGGAAAUGCUGUGUCAGCAUUUCCACUUAAUGACAUUUUCCUAUCAGUUAAAACUCUACAUACAUAGGCCUGUGACAAACACCUCAAAAGUGCUCUAGUUUUCGAAAUACCCUACCGGAAUUAGAACCAAACAAAACAUAGUCUUUCCUCAUCUCUAAGGCCUCCUUUACAUGAAAUGGAUUCUUGUAUAAAAAUAUUUCAAUGCAAAAGUGGUGAAAUUGAUAUAUAUUGUUAUACACACCCAAACAAAAAAUAAAGCUUGUUCGUCUGGUGAUUGAUGCAUAUAAACCCAUGUAGAUUCACUAUGGAGGCUCCAGGAGGUCUAAAAUUUUGCAUUCUGGAGGCCAGGAUAUCCCUCUACAUUCUCGAAAAAAACAGAAUGUACAUAUCUUAAUACAAAUAGGAGAUAGUCAUUUUAACACAUACCUACAAUAGGCGAGAAUGUAAUCUAUGUAGAAUAUUCCCUUUACUUUAUAGUGACUUUGUCAUGGAAAGCCAUAACAACACAUAUGAGGGCUUGUUUGAAAGCUGUGGUUCUGCUGAAUCCAGCAAUACCUAUUGCGUAUAGGUAGCUUGGAGUUAUCUCACAAAAGGUACGAGGUGUCCCGAAAAGAAGAAAAUAAAGAAAAUUAUAUAGUCCAAAUGAAAUCUUCAUUCCAUAAUUCAUUAUGUGGUGUUCACAAUUUCACUGUUACUGCAAAGAAAAAUAACUUUGGGAAAUAACCCCCCCCCCCCCCCCCCCCUUUUUUAAUCUUUUUUUCCUUCACUUAUCUAUAUGAACAAAUUCACUUGAGUAGAAGUAGAAAUGUAUAAAACUAUUCCUAAACAUGCAACUUCAACAAUAGAGCAGAGAAAAAUGCAGGCCUACACUAGAACCACUAACGAUUAUUUAGCUCACCUGGCUGAGGAAAACCAAGCUCCACACAUUUGAUGCUCACUGUUAACACCAUAACAUCAAGUCAGUCAAUUCAAGAGGUGGUUACUGUCAAGACAUACAACAUUUGGCUCCCUGCUCUAUCUGCAUUGUAUCCCAUUCAUAGGCUUCUUCAUAAACUGACAGGUAAAUUAUUGAAAAUAUUAAUGAAUGUGUGAGAAAGACCUUGCUAAAUCAGUUAUCUAAUUAGCUAGCUGGAGAGUAAGCCAGCUUAACUGAAGUAUAGCUAGCUUUAAAGUGACAUGCCUUAAUUGAAAUAGAUAUGAGUCUAGCUGAAUUAUUAACAAUUAAUCAACCCACUGAGCAGCCAUACUAGAUGUCUCUGUUUCAUCAGAAUGUCACACAUCCAUAAUUAGUUUCACUGGUAACAUUAUGGUUACCAGUACAUUGUAUGUGUAAUACAUAGAUAAUGUCCAAAUUCUUAAGUAUAUUUCUUUUCCUUUUUUUCAAUUUUACCAGAAUGGAGAGUGAUGUGCAAACAUUGGAUCCAAAUCUAUGUAUAAUCUGUGGUAAACAUUUAGAAAAAGGAAAGAAACAAGAGCCAUAUGUCAAAAAGCCCACAGUAGAAGGUCUUCAGCACAUACUGCAUGUUGCUCAACAGAGAGAUGAUGACGUGAAUAAAACCCUGUCACCUUAUAGAGAUGAUAUACUUUCCCUCAAAACAAAGGUGUCAUAUUGUGUGUCAUGUAGAGCAAACUACUCCAGUAAGACCAAUAUCAAUGAGCAACAAGUAGCAAAUGUUGAUAUGGAGAGGGUACCUGCACCAGGCCCAUCAAGAAGACUGAGUAGGGUUGAUACCCAAUUAUUUGACAUACGAAGAGAAUGUUUCAUUUGUGGGAAGGCCAGAACAAGACCGGAAAAACUGACUGCCAUUGUGACUGGUACAGGUAAAAGUACCAGAGACAAGGUCCUCCAUGCUGCGUCAGAAAGACAAGAUGAAGUCAUACAACAUUGGCUUAUUGCAUACCCAGAUCUCUUUGCAUAUGAUUCCAAAUAUCAUUAAAGCUGCUUUGCACACUACAUUUCAGAGCUAAAUAUAACAGCUGCCAGACGGAAAAAAGAAUCAGACCAUCAGAUCAGUAUUCAUGACAAAGUUUUUAUUAAGCUCACUGAAGUUAUUGAUAAAACAGUUUUUUCCAAAGAUAUAAAAGUGAUGACACUAAACUCCUUGACUGAGAGUUAUGAUGAUAUACUGAAGACACUGAGGUCUGAGGAAGAAGAUGAGACAGUCCAGCACACUAAAUACAGAUCCUGGAAACUGAAGGAAAAGCUCAUACAGCACUACAAACACAGGCUGGUAUUUUUUGAACGAGCCGGAAAGUCCGAUAUGGUAUGCUCUGAAGAUGCGCCCAUGGGAUAUGCAAUGAGAGAAGCUGCACAUCUCAAAGACAAGCCAGAAGAGACGACAAAUCUUACAGAAGACUGUGAGACACGACAGCCAAGUUUGUUUGUUUGUUUGUUUAUUUAUUUAGCACAGAUUAAAAACAGUGCAAGGAGGGAACGAAGCCGAUAGGCUUAUACAGAGUUCCACUCCCGUCAGGUCAGAGAAAACAUAAGGUGCAGACAACUGAGUACACAGACUGGAACACAGACAAAUCAGCAAACAGUGAUAAAGAAAAUAAAGUAUUUAUAAAAAGGAAAGAGAUAUGAUCAUAACAGAUAAUGAUGUAUUUAAGACAUGAUCAGAUGAGAUUUUAAUGAUAUUUUAAAGGAGUUAAAGGAUGAUAUUGAUUUUAGAGAUGCAUCAAGAUUAUUCCACAGUUUCGGACCUCUGAAAGUGAUGUUAGACUGAUGACUAGAAGUUCUACAUGAAGGUAACUGAAGAUGGCCAUUUUGUCGUGUUGAGUACGGAUGAAAAGGUAAAAAAGUUUCGGAAAGUUUCAGGAAGGGCUUGUUUGUUAUUGAUGAAUUUGUGGACAUAUAAACAAGAGUGAAGGACAUUGAGUUUGUCAAUUGGUAAGAUGGAGUAUUUAGAAAAGAGAGGAGCAGAAGGUUCGUGUUUGCUGGAUCGUGAUAUCAUUCUUAUGAAUCUUUUCUGGAUUAUUAAUAUUUUCUUGAGGUAAGUUGGAUACGUUGCACACCAUACAAUGUUACAAUAGUUCAUGUACGGAAAUAGAAAGCUGUAGUACAAAGACAAAUGAGCAGAGGGAUUGAUCAGGGGACAGACCUUAUUAAUUAUACCGAGGCUCUUUAUUGACCUUUUGCAUACCUCGCUGAUAUGAAUGUUCCACUUUAGACCCUCAUCGACAACAACACCCAAAAAAGUGGUGUGGGGUACUUGAGGGAUUCCAGUACCAUUGAUUGAUAUUUUGGCUUUUUCUUUUGGAUAAGAUUUGUUUUUGUUGCUGAAGAUCAUGAAAUUACAUUUUUUUAUAUUAAGAGUUAGCUUAUUAGUCAGGAACCAGUUAGCAACAGAGGACAAUUCAUCAUUCACACGGGCAAUGAGAGUCUCAAAGUCAGCAUGGACAUCUAUGAAACAGGUGUCAUCAGCAAAUAACAAGGGGAGAAGGUUAUUACAGGACAUAGGUAAGUCAUUGAUAUAAAUUAAGAAUAACAGAGGACCGAGGAUUGAUCCCUGAGGGACCCCAAAGAGAAUACUGGAUUUAGUGGAUGAAGAACCAUUUAGAUGAACAAACUGUUCUCUAUUAUCUAGAUAACUGAUCAGCCAGUUGAGGGCAAUAUUCUGGAUUCCAUAUCUGUUAAGCUUUGCGAUGAGGAUUUUGUGAUCGACAGUGUCAAAAGCUUUGCUCAAAUCAAGAAAGACACCAAGGGCAAAUUUUUUCCCAUCUAGAGCAGAGGAAACAGUAUUAACAAGUUGCAGCAAUGCAUGCUCAGUUGAGUGUUUUUUGCGGAACCCGUAUUGGUGAUUAUACAAAACAUUAUUAACCGUCAAGUGGUCGGAGAUUCUCGCAUAGACUAGUUUUUCCAAGAUUUUGGAAAAACAGGGUAGAACAGAUAUUGGGCGAUAGUUGCCAAAAUCUCUUGUGUUGCCUGAUUUAAAUAUUGCAGUAACUUUGGCAAUUUUAAGAUCUCGAGGGACAAUACCAGACAGAAGGGAUAAAGAGAGAAUGUGGGUUAAAGGGUGAAUGAUGUAAUCUAUAGAUUCUUUGACAAGACUGCUUUUAAUACCAUCGUGACCCUGAGCAGAGUCCUUUAAAUUCCUAACAAUGUCAUGAACCUCUUCUAAACUGGGAGGAUCAAAACUAGAGAGUGUUGAAAAUGUGCCUUUCAUGAAACUUGUGGGAUUUACAUCUGAGUCUUUCAUGCUAGAAGCCAUGGAAGUACUGACGUUUAUAAAGAAAUCAUUAAAACUCUCUGCUAUGUCACUCUGGUCAUGUAGAGGCCCAUCCUUUCCCAUCAUUUCAACAGCUACAGUAGCAGUAGUUUUUUUCGAUUAAGUAAUUGGUUGAUGAGGUUCCAGGUUGACUUAAUGUUAUUGGCAGCUUGGGUAAACUUAUCAGCAUAAUAUGUUUUUUUAACCUUCCUUAAGGAUGCAGUAAAUUUAUUUUUAUAUUUCUUAUAUUUUACAAUAUUUUCAGGAGUAGGAUUGUUAAUAGCUUUCCGAUAUAGUUUGUUUUUUUUAUGAGAGUACUUUUUUAGUUCACCCGUCAUCCAGGGUUUUCCUUUGGAUGAGUUACUCUUCAUAGCGGUGACUAGCGGAAAGCUAGCUUCGAGAAUUUAUUCAAAUGUAGUUAAAAAUAGCUGGUAAGCUUCAUUAACAUCUGAUGAGUUGAGGACCUCAUUCCAGGACACUGUACGGAUGGAAGAUUUAAAGGAUUCCAUGUUCUUUUUAUUGUAGAUGCGAGAUUUGCUUUGCAGGUAGUCAGAGUUUUUGCGUUUAUAAUUUCCUUUAGUAUGUAUGAUCUGGAAUACGGGGAGGUGGUCGGAGAUGUCAGAUAUUAACAACCCAGAGGUGAUUUCAUAGUCAAGUGAAUUGAUUAUGAUAUUGUCAAUGAGAGAAGCUGAUGAUUUGGUGAUUCUGGAUGGUUUGAGAAUUAGUGGAAAGAAGUAGGUUGAGUAAAGAUUGUUCAGAAAGUCAACGGUAGAGGGUAAUUCACUCUUAAGCAGGUCGAUAUUGAAAUCACCCAUAAGAACACACAGUUUAUGCUCCUUGGUUAUAAACUCAAGGGAGGAGUAAAGAGCCUCAUUGAAUGAAAUUGGGUCAGUGUCAGGAGGUCUGUAGACACACCCAAUUAUAAUAUUUUUCCCAUGAAGGGGACGACAAGAAGAGAUUUCGAUAAAUACAGAUUCCACUCGUAUGUUUUCUAGAGGUUCUGAGAUUUCUUUUCUAGUGGUAAAGUUGUAGUCUUUGAGCACAUAUAGGGAAACUCCUCCUCCGACCUUAUUUCUUCUGCAUGAAUGAAUAGCAUUAUACUGAGAUAUAGGGUAAAGAUCUGUGAUAUCAUCCUUUAGCCAGGUUUCUGAGAAUGCCAUUACUGAGAAAGAAAAAGUUAGGGUUGAUAAGUAUAUUUUUAGGCUGUCAAAAUUUUUUGGUAAACUGCGAACAUGUAAGUGCCACGCUGAAAAGUCAUUUAGGAUAUAAGAGUCAUCAGGAGCAAGAGUACGGGACAGAUCAUUGAACUGAUCUUCAGAAUAGUAUUUACAUGAUCGAAUUACAUUGUUUGAGUUUGAGAGAUUUAUAUCUGGGUUGAAAAAUUCAUCGUAGAUACCUCUGUUAUCUGAGUUUAGGUCAAAUGGAUUAAAGGCUAGAGGAUCCGUAUCAUGGGGGGUAGACACCCCAUCAGCAUAAAGAUGGUUGGACAUAAUGCACAAUUUGUAAGAUUAUGCAAAGAAGAACACAGUCAUAGAUCAUCAUUCAGGUAGUAUGGCGCGGUUACAGGUAGACAUCUAGUUCAGUCAGAUCUCUAAUGAUUUUGACCUUAGCUUCUUCUGUCAAGGUCUCUCUGACAAGCAAAUAUUACAUAGAGCUGCAGACAUACUGAGAAAAAGCAUGGAGCACGUUGAUCAUGACAGUAAAUCAUAUGUCAGCAGUGAUCAGCUACCUCUUCUCCAUUGCAGCAACUAUGUUCCAAACAAUGUUUAUGACUUUGUGAACUGGUGUGUUGAUGCAAUGCCCACAGAAAUUACAAGACUUGUGAUGAGGAACCAGCUCUCAAGGACAAUUUGCGUGUCAUUGCGAUCUGCCAUGAUCUCAUCGCACAGUGCUGUCGCAUCUAUACUCCAAUCACAAUGGGACUUGCUAUUUUGAUUCAUCAUGAAUUUGGUAGCAAGACACUCAUCAAUGAGCUCAAUGCAAUUGGGCACUGUGCUUCCUAUACUGAGGUUCGACGUUUCCUCACAUCUGUGGCAGCAGACCAGGUAUCAAGUACAUUGAGUGGUUUUUACAUCCCACCUGGCCUCACUGGAGUCUCUGAACAUGGAAUUAUUGAUGCAGCCAUUGAUAACUUUGAUCAAAAUGCGGAUAGUCUGGAUGGGAAGCAUACAACCCAUGCUAUGGCAUCUGUAGUGUACCGAAGAGAUCCUGUCUCCACUUCGGAUAACUGCAUAACAAGAGUCUCAGAGAGGUCUCUCUCAACCUUGGACAAACCUGACUUUAUUGAAGAUAAACUUAACAGGUAUGUUUUUAUUAUUGAAUAUUUUAUUUGUUCUGUUUUAAUGCAUAUAGUCACAGUACAUAUUUUGAUGGGGGUAUGACCUUGUGAAGUUUAGUCUUCUGAUUCAAUAUUUAAUGCAUAUGAUCACAAGCUUAUGUUAUUAUUUUGAUACUGAUUACAGGUACAUCAAGCCUCCAAAGCGACCUGAGCCACCCGUAAUUCCCCGAACUGAGAUGCUAGACUCAAACCCAGCUGUCUCCAAAGCAGCAGAUGACAGAGACCUGGUAUGGAAACUGUCUCGCAAUCAAACUGAGAAUCAACAGCAUAUUCCUGCAUGGUCUGCAUUCAAUGCCUUCACAUCCGGCACAGCUCCUCCAGUAGCCAAGGUACUGUACAUGCCAUUCAUAAUAGAAUCACCCUCUGAUUUGUUGACCAUCUAUACAGCUAUGAUACGCCUUGUACAGCUAGCUAAAGAACUGGGACAACAUCAUAUUCUUGUGACUGCAGAUCUAGCAAUUUAUAGCAAAGCGCAAGAGAUCUUGUAGAGCAAACCCCAGCUCUUACAUAGGAAGAUCACCAUGAGACUAAGAGGUAUGCAUGUCACAAUGGCUUACCUUGCCAGUUUGGGGAAGCUGCAUGGUGAUGGCGGACUCUUUAACAUACUCACCGAGUCAGAUGUUUACGCAGAAGGAACAGCCCGACAGUUGCUUCAGGGUAAACAGCUGGCAAGAGCUAUCAGGAGCAUAAAGCUAGCUUCUGAGGCUCUGUUCAGACUUUUCUGGAAAUCCAUGCAAUCAUGGCUUGAAAAAAAAGGCAGACGUGCAAUGACUGGAGCACAAGAGCAACUCCUACAAGAUAUGCAGCAUGCAUUUCAUGGGAACAACAAGACUGCUGCUCGAGAGCUCAUUGGUGAGGUGGAGACUGACCUUACUGGGAUUCACGACAGUAUCCAGAUGUUCAUAGAUAAAGGGGCAAAGCAAUCAGCAACUUUUCAAUACUGGUUAAUGUUCCUCAAGGGUGCUGAUCUGUUGCUGAGGAUCCUGCUUUCAGAGCGUGAAGCAGACUUUGAACUUCACAAAUGCAAUUUAGGUGGUUCAGAGCUGCUGGCAGAACAAAUUAUGCUAAGUACACGCCGCUCUAUGUUGCAGAAAUGAAAGUCCUUCAACAGGAACAACCAGAGGCAUACAAAUUCAUGCAAGAUGGCGGAUUUGUUGUUCGCCGGUCAGAGGAUCACAACUUCAACUGUGUGACGGCUGGAGCAGACCAUUAACCGAGAAGGCAAGAGUCAGGGUGGUGUUGUUGGCUUCACAUUAUGUAAAAUGGCUCUCACAAGGUGGUUGAUGACAAGGCAUGUGACCACAGCAUAUGUGGAUGCCAUGCAAGACCUUUGUGAUACUAAUGCAAAAGGCCCCACAGCACACAAAGAACACAGAGCCUCCAGAAUGGACAGGGAUGAAAGAAACAUACAACAAAUAGUGGAAGCUGUGGAGCAGAAGCAGAACCCCUUUGAUCUUGACACUGUCCCAGAAGAACUAAUAAAUAUUGCAAGUGGUCAGGUUGCAUCUGAGAAAGUUGCUAAAGAGCUCUCAAGUUUCCUCUAAGAUGGUGCAGAGCAGGCUAGCAUCUUCAUCAAACAACGCCUGUCAAAAUCUAGAACGAAGAGCUUCAGGGAUCCCAAGAAAAGGAAACACUGUGCAACCUUCAAAGAUAUAAAAAAAACAGAUGGAGUCGGUACAUCUAAACAGGUUCACAUGGAGUCAGAUGUGCUGUUUCGAAGAUUACUUGCUGUCUCCAAGCAAAGAGAGGUAUCCAUGGAGACUGUGAUGUCCCAUGAACUUGCUGCUGUUCCCCCCUCUUUGUUUCAUGAUGAUGGAACCAUGCGGAAGAACACUAAAGCAGACCUUGCAAAAAUAAUUGAGUCUGUAGUUGAGGAAACACAGCAGUUGCCUAAUGUUUCUGACCCAUCUGCAUACCUUAUCAAUGGCAUGGCUCCUUUACAGAGUCUCCCUGACUGUCUUUCAGACAUUCAAUGACCUGGGCGAGUAUGUCUGGAAGAAGAUCACGACGCAAAUGAAAAAGGAAAACAUCAACUGUGUUGCUGUUGUGUUUGAUAGAUAUGAUCAUCCACACUCAAUCAAAGACCUGGAAAGACAAAGAAGAGGCACCAUCCGAGCAAGCAGAUCAACACAUACCAUCACAGGCAACGCUAAUGUUCCUAACUACAGAAAAUACCUCAAGGUCAGUGGUAACAAGGCUGCUUUAUGCAGCUUUGUAAGCAACUACACAGUCAAUACAGGGCCAGAGAGAAUAUCCUCAGAGAAAAAAGUCAUUUUGGCAGGUGGCUUCGAAAAUGGUGAGGAGGUCAAGGUGGUCAGCAACUCAGGUGUUGACAACUUGACAGACCUGUAUAGUGACCAGGAAGAGGCUGACACCAGAUUGGUAUUCCAUGCAAUACAUGCAGCAGAGUCUCAUUCUCGGGUCAUCAUCAGAUGUGAUGACACAGAUGUGCUGGUUUUGCUUGUGUAUUAUUCCAGCCAAGAAAUGUUUGGAUCUUCAACGGUGUUCAUGCACUCUGGACACGGCCCAAGGGAGAGGUAUGUCCCAGUCUGUGCAAUUGCAAAGAAGCUUGGUGCAGCAUUUUGUGCUUGUCUACCUGCAUGCCACGCCCUCACUGGUUGUAAAACCACAAGCAGUUUGUACAGAAUUGUAAAGGCUACUGCUUUUAACAGACUGAGGCUCAUCUGAGUGACUUAAAAGAGAUGGAAAAUUUUGGACUCUCUGAAAGCCUGGAGGAGGCUAUUCCUGUGGCAAGAAAGUAUGCCCUCCUUCUGUAUGGCCGAAAGAAAAGGGAGGAUGGCCGUUCUUGCACCACCUUGGAUGAGCUGAGGUACACACUAGCAUCUGGAACAGAUUCAUCAGCUGCAAAUCUACCCCCGACGGAGGAUGCCUUCCAGCAGCAUGUAUCAAGAGCCUUGUACCAGAUUGCAGUGUGGCGUCACAGCCAUGUGGCAAAGCCUCAUCUGUGGAACCCAGUUGGUAGAGGGUGGAGGCUCAGAGAAGAUGGGUCUAUUGAAUCGGUGAUGUCUAUCAAAGAACCUGCACCUAAAGAAGUCAGACACAUCACCCACCUGUACUGUAAGACGGAAAGUGCAAUGAAAGCAGUAAAUGCGAGUGUCUUUCAGUAGGCUUGACCUGCACUGAGUUUUGCUCUUGCCCUUUCCCUGACUGCCCAAAUAUGAGCCAUGUUGUUUUGGAUGAUAAUGUGGAUGAGUGAUAGAGAUGUUUAUGUUUCUGUGCAUCUAUCCCCUGGCUCAAACCAGGCCUAACUCGUCUCCUCUCCACACCACUCCACCUACCCAUGCACACACACACACACACACACACACACACACACACACACACACACACACACACACACACACACACACACACACAACAUUACCUUGAGUGAGGUUUAGACAUAGGAGCAUUUAAUUUGAAUAAAACAGUUUGUUGAUUAAAAAUAUAUUUCCUUGUCUCCAUCUCUUGCAUUUUAUUCUUUUUAGGACACCUUGUACCUUUUGUGAGAUAACUCCAUGUGUAUACAAGCUACCUAUACACACUUGAUAUUGCUGGAUUUAGCAGAACCACAGCUUUCAAACAAGCCAUCAUAUGUGUUGUUAUGUGUAGCAAUCAAGACAACCCUGGGUGUGAAACCCACACAUUCCUCACAGGAAAGUUUCCUUAUCUGGUCCCAGGAAACAGGAUAUAAAUCUUUCCAGACUCGUUUACACUUUCAGGUUAAAUAAGUGACCCAACCGGAGGUUGACUAAACCUCUGACUCUUCACGAUUGGUCAAUUCGGAGAACAGAGACAGAGUUUUUAUUACCUUUCAAACUGACUCCAUUACUGACCAUCUAAAUAAACAUUAACCUCAACCCAGAUCUCCCAUUUGAGAUUUAGCGUCUUAAAGUGUGUGAUCAUACGGACCCCAGGAUAAGGGGGGACACUGACCUCCAGACCUCGGUCGUAAAACCCUGCUCGACCAUGCACUGAUAAAGACUACAUUCCUUUGGUGAAAGAAUACAAAUGACUGAUCCUGACAUCUUAUGCAUUCAGCAAUGUACUAAUCUGUCUAAUCAUGGAAUUUGUGUUAAAAUGAGAUGUUUCCCAUUUUUCUAUGUGCUUCAGAAGUCGAGUUAUCACUGACAGAAUAAAUCCUUAUUCUUUAGUUUCUUUAGACCAACAGCUUUUCAGACUGUUUCAUGAACUGUUAAGAGUUAAAUUUAUUGACUAUGGAUCAUAACUUACUCUAUGAACACAGAAAUAGUUUAGAAAUGUUUGGUUUAUAUUGUAGAUGUUUAUUUAGUAUUUUUAACCAUUAGGUGGUUAUAAUGUCAUUGAAUAAUCUGAAUGUGAGUAUUUAGAAUCCAUUAUUAAUCAUGAUGAAGUUCAUUCACAUGUGUUUACUCUUUUGUUGUUCACAGUUUCCAUGUGUUACUAUCUGUUUCAUUUCAGAGUAAUUUAGCAUGUUCAAUGUGAUACUUAAAACAUAAUGAGAAUGUUUGAUGUGAUCCUACACUUCAUUCAUAUGUGUUUAGUAUCAAAUUAUUUAUCAUGAAACCUAGCAUUCAAUGAUAUUAAUCAUAGUGAGUUAGUAUCAGAUCUGACUCUUUUACCAGCCAAAAGAAUAAGUUAGAUCAAAUAAUCAGAGAUUCCACGACCCCUCCUUUCUCCUCACACACACACGCCGGAAACACUCCCAGUGUGAGAAGAUAAAACCAGUGAAGUGGGGUUGCUCACUCUCUUGUUCACGCUUGUUCACUCUUAUGUUUCUGCUCUCUCUUAGGCCCCUUACUCUUGUGCCCUUCUCUUCUGCCCACACCCUUCUGUGGUGCGUUUCUUUGUUUUCUCUUAGAACUUUUUCUUAGUCUUCUAAGUUUUACGCCACGUGUUGAUUCACGUUGAUUUUUCUUUAACAUCGUCUUAGUUCAAGUUUUGAAACUUCAACUUUUUGUGCGCAUAGCAAUUCAAGAUUAAGCCUUUGAUUGAUUUUCCUUUAAUUUCGCGAAGCCAUUUUUGAAAGUUUUCUCUGCUCGAGUCUCGUUUUUCUGAGUUAUCUGCGUGAUUUUCAAAGUCACCUCUGAACGCAACCCAGCAGGCCCAGGUCAUCCUCUGUGCCAGAGUUUUUGAGUGAGACCAAAGAAGUACCCAAACGAGCAUCCACAGGAUCCACAGGCGCUGGCUUUGCUUCGUGCCUGAGUGCUGCAACUCCUGGCUCAUCCUUCGGCUGACUUCAGUCGUCUUCUGAGCUGAACCGCUCGAACCGCCAGUAGCCCGGACCUUCGGAACCUGCUCCAUCUUCUCCAAGGACCAGUCUCACUUAAGUAUGCAAACCUCCAGAGCUCUAAAGAGGGCUGGUGCUGUCUCCUGCGUUCAACUCAGAUAUCCUCUUAUUCUGGUAAUCUUAGAUUCCUCCAAAUCCACAUCCGAGUUUAUCUCGACACCAAAGUUAGUGUAGGUUAAUAUGUUAGCGCAUAUUCACUCACUAUCAUUAACUUUAGUGCUCCUAGCCUGACUCAGAAUCUUUAUUUAUUCACCUAUUAUUAUUAUUUUAUCCUCAUUAUCUUAUCAUCAUUUAUUGCAUGUGUGUUGUACCAUCAUUUAUCCUGUAAUAAACAGAUAAUUAUUUUUCUAAGUUCCUGUCUGUUAGUGUUCUUCCAGAAGUGGAGUCCCUGAAAUUAGAAUUUCGACUUAAGAUAUGAGACUGAUUAAUUAAAACUGACUUGAUGUUUGAUUUCUGAAUUAAACUUUUGUUUUCUUUAUUUUCCCACCAUUAAGGGUGGGUGGUGCCCCUUUCAAUGAGUGCAUAAAUGUCAUAAUUUGAGACUAUUAAUCUUCAGACAUUUAUUAUAAAUUCAAAUCGCUACAGUAUUAUUUUGGUGCGGCCUUGUGAGGCUCAUUUCAAAUCGCUACAUAUAUUUUGGUGCGACCGUGUGAGGCUCAUUUCAA